CCCCCCCCCCCCGCUACCCAUGGGACCUCAUUUGUUCAAUGCUACGCAGGGGAGCAUUUUGAUUCGGCUCCUGACGGGAUUCUGUGUUGGGCUUUUAACUGCUUCUCCUCUGAAUGCCAGGCCAGCUGUUUAAACCCACGCUUGUUGGUCAGCUUUGCUCUGUGGGAGUCCUCAUUGUUCUGAAUGUAAAAAUAGGAGACCCAAUUCACCAUGGGGCUCAGAAAAAUCCUGGUCAUUGAACCCUAGAAAAUACUAUGUCACUUCGGUUAGACCCAAAUGAAAGACUUGAUCUUUAAAAAUAGGGUAUUUUUCUGCAUGUUAAAAGUACAUGAAUAAAGCCCAUUAGUCCUGAAGAAAAUAUUUGGUCAUGAUAAACCAAAUAGGUGCAUGAUUGAUUAUCUCUGGACAUAAUGCAAUCACAAGCUUCCAGGCGCAGGGAAGCCUUUGGAUCCGGUCAGCAAUCUUUUAGCAGUUCUGACUGGCUCAGAGGUAGCACCAGUAGAUAUAUUAAUUUCCCUGGAGAAAUUUUCUUUUGAUUAUGCUUAUUGAAUAUGGAGCCUUUGGGCAUAUGCAGAUUCUGAGAGCUUAUGUUUUACACCUGAAGCCAUUUCUUCAUUCCUGUUGUUUUAUUCUGACAGUCCGCAGUGUUUAUUACGCUCACUUGAGAAAAUCGUCCUCUGUGCUCUAUACUUUCUGUCCUAGGUCGUUUUGUCAAAAGGUGGGCUGCGACGUUCCAGUUGCUUCUGACCCUCUGGAAGUCAGACAUGGCAGCUCACAGCCUGCGCCCUUCGACCCGGAAGUGACGACAUGAGACGAUUCCAUCACAGAUGAGGAAAUAUUUGUCUCAGUGACACUUGUUCAGAUGCCCUGGAUUGCAGCAGACACUGAUGUCCUUAUCAGAAGUGACACACAUGUACACGGACACGAGAAUGCUUCCUGGCAAGGCAUCAGAGAAGGCAGGGACCAGAAUGACAGAUCCCCAAGCCAAGGAGCAAAGACUGCAGAACAGCUACCUGAAGUUCUCUAGGGUCUGGAGAGGUGGCUUGGUGGUUAAGAGUGCUGGCUGCUCUUCCAGAGGACAUAAAUUUGGCUGCCAGCACCCAUAAUAGAGGCUUACAACCAUCUGUAACUCCAGUUCCAGGGAGUCUGACAUCCUCGUCUGGCACCUGAGAGUAUUACAGGCAAAUAGUGUACAUAAUACAACACACACACACACACACACAUACACACACCCACAGAGACACACACACAGACACACACACACACACACAUAGACACACGGACACACACACAGACACAGACACACAGACACACAGACACACACACAGACAUGCACACAGAGACACACACACAGACACACACAGACAGACACACACACACACACACAUACACACACCCACAGAGACACACACACAGACACACACACACACAUACACACACAGACACACACACACAGACACAUACACACACAGACACAGACACACACACAGACACACAGACACACACACAGACAUGCACACAGAGACACACACACAGACACACACAGACAGACACAAACAGACACACACACAGACACAGAGACACACACUAAAUAAAAAAACAGUUUUCAAAAUGAAUCUGUGGUGUUUUUAAAUUAUUCAGAGCUAAAUUCUUCCUGUCUUUCCACAAAAAAAAAAAAAAAAAAGUGGUCAUUGUUUGCCGUCCUAGCAUCUGUCUUAAUGGUGGCUACUUCAGCCUGUGUGACGCCGGGCACUCCCAUCCAGUACUAAUGAGUGGCAGAAACACUUCGAGCCAGCUCUCACUGGGAAAGGAAAUUACCGUCUGCUGGGCCGAUGAGGCCCACUCUAAUUUAAAGGUAAUUUGAAGAAGAGUGAUCAUUCGUCUGUGUGGAGAAGGCCAAGUUCAGACAUAUUCAGAUGCCCUGGAAACCCCACAUCUCUGCAGAAGUAGAGGAUGCCCCCACCUUGGUGCCGGGUACCCCUAAAGAUUCACUCUAACAUCCAUUCCCACCCUGGGGACGGGGUAAUGAGCACCCAUCAGACUCUGGCCACGGAGGAGAUUUUA